UACAGAGGUCUCGAGCGUUAGGCGGAAUCACUGGGCUUAAAGCGUGUGUAGGUGGAUCGUUAAGUACCUUGUGAAAUCCCACGGCUUAACCGUGGAACUGCUUGGUAUACUGGCGGUCUUGAGCCACUUAGGGGCUACCGGAACAAAUGGUGGAGCGGUGAAAUGCGUAGAUAUCAUUUGGAACGCCAAUGGUGAAAACAGGUAGCUGGGAGUGUGCUGACACUGAGACACGGAAAGCCAGGGGAGCAAACGGG
rnacentral:rRNA from 1 species